rnacentral:tmRNA from 2 species
GGGUGCGUAAUGGUUUCGACGUGGGUUAUGAUCCUUUAAGGGCAUGUCGAGGGACAGAUUACCUCGUUAAAACAGCUGUAAACCAUUUAGUUGCAAAUAACGACAACUACGCACUAGCUGCUUAAUAACCAGUCUAGUGCCUUCUGACCGAUUUGUGUCUGUACAAUCGGAUUCAGGAGUUAUCUAUACAGACUAGCGUGAUAGCUUGACUAGGGCUUAAGCGUUAAACUUUACUAGCCUAGCUAUAAGUUUUUCUCUCUCUUCGGAUAGCUUUUAGCAAACUUAAAGAAGAGAUAAGCAUGUAGAUCUUAUUGGUGAGUGCUGACGGACGCGGGUUCGACUCCCGCCGCAUCCACCA